rnacentral:misc_RNA from 1 species
GGUUUCAUUGCAGAUGUCAGCUGAACCUGAAUAACUUGGAAGGCUAUUGUUCUCUCGAAGGAGUUUCAGUACCACAGAUUUCAUUUCACGGCGGCCUCUCUCUUCAUUGCUUGUAAGAACAAGUUCCAUUAUGUGGGAAAGUGUGUCCUUAGGCGGAUUAACAACCUCAGAAGAGACUCNNGUGUGACCCCAACACCUUCAUUCUGGAGUUGUAGAACUGAAGAGAUCACCUUUUCUUCUUCUUCCUCCCCAACCCAUGGAACUGCUUCCAAAUAUUCCAAGCAUGACUGAAUGCAUGAGUUGAAGCCAAUAAAUUCAGCAAUCUUGAUAAUUCGAAGCACACGCGAGACAGUUUGCUUGAUCAACCGCUGCUUCAUUUCUUUGCAAUACAUCAGUCCCACGGUUUCAACAUAUAUCUCAACAUCAUCACAAUCGUCAAUCUCAAGA